rnacentral:rRNA from 1 species
GACGUAGGGCGCGAGCGUUGUCCGGAUUUAUUGGGCGUAAAGAGCUCGUAGGCGGCUUGUCGCGUCGUUCGUGAAAACCUGCAGCUCAACUGCAGGCUUGCGGUCGAUACGGGCAGGCUAGAGUUCGGUAGGGGAGACUGGAAUUCCUGGUGUAGCGGUGAAAUGACGCAGAUAUCAGGAGGAACACCGGUGGCGAAGGCGGCGUCCUGGACCAACACUGACACUGAUGAGCGAAAGCCAGGGGAGCAAACGGG